CAGUCGCCGCGGGAACACGUAGGUGGCAAGCGUUGUCCGGAAUUAUUGGGCGUAAAGCGCGCGCAGGUGGUUUAAUAAGUCUGAUGUGAAAGCCCACGGCUCAACCGUGGAGGGUCAUUGGAAACUGUUAAACUUGAGUGCAGGAGAGAAAAGUGGAAUUCCUAGUGUAGCGGUGAAAUGCGUAGAGAUUAGGAGGAACACCAGUGGCGAAGGCGGCUUUUUGGCCUGUAACUGACACUGGGGCGCGAAAGCGUGGGGAGCAAACAGGAUUAGAUACACCCGUAGUCCCUGUCUCUUAUAC
rnacentral:rRNA from 1 species